UACGUAGGUGGCGAGCGUUGUCCGGAUUUACUGGGUGUAAAGGGCGCGUAGGCGGGUAUGUAAGUCAGAUGUGAAAUCCCGAGGCUUAACUUCGGAACUGCAUUUGAAACUGCAAAUCUUGAGUGCGGGAGAGGAAAGCGGAAUUCCUAGUGUAGCGGUGAAAUGCGUAGAUAUUAGGAGGAACACCGGUGGCGAAGGCGGCUUUCUGGACCGUAACUGACGCUGAGGCGCGAAAGCGUGGGUAGCAA
rnacentral:rRNA from 1 species